rnacentral:lncRNA from 1 species
AGAACAAUGCCUGGAACACAAUGGGCACUGAACAAAUAUUUAUAGAAUAAAUGAGUGAAUCAGUUAAUGGAUCAAAAAAUAGUCUUAGUUCAGCAACUACAACAAACUGAAACUUAAAACAGGAGACACGGUCAACACUUGAAUCUAUCCACAUCCAUACUCGAGUGUGGCCUACAGUGUUUGGAAGGGAAUCAUAUGGGAAAUAGACCUUCAGUUGAGAUUCAAAGGAUGGGCAUGAUGAGUUUUAAAAGAUUCAAAACAGGACACGAAUGGUAAACAAAUUAAAAAGGAAUGGAUACACAUGAUAUGCUUAGAGUCAAUAAAGGAACCAGUCUGGUUAUACAGACUGUUUUCUUAUCAUAGCCACAUGGCCUCAGUGCCCUAAAAAUGUCCCCAACAAUUAGGCCUCUCACUUCCUACACUAAUCUGGUGCUCUCCUACUGCUCAGGGCAUUGAAAGGGAUGGGUCCAGCCUAAGCACUGAACAUGUCUUCUAAAUCACCUUCCUGGCAGGAAGCAAUGGUAGGGUAACUAGCUUACUUGAGACCUGAGGGAAAUCACUGCUAGUUAAAUAAGAACACAUAAAAUUGAGGGAGAAGACCACAGAUGUUAACUAUAGCAUGGUUUGAAAGAACUAUUUGUCCUUAGAGUCCCAUAUAUUCUUUUCUUUCAGUAUUCACUUUAGAAAGUAAUUGAUUC